CAGCAGCCGCGGUAAGACAGAGGAUGCAAGCGUUAUCCGGAAUGAUUGGGCGUAAAGCGUCUGUAGGUGGCUUUUCAAGUCCGCCGUCAAAUCCCAGGGCUCAACCCUGGACAGGCGGUGGAAACUACCAAGCUGGAGUACGGUAGGGGCGGAGGGAAUUUCCGGUGGAGCGGUGAAAUGCGCUGAGAUCGGAAAGAACACCAACGGCGAAAGCACUCUGCUGGGCCGACACUGACACGAAGAGACGAAAGCUAGGGGAGCAAAUGGGAUUAGAUACCCCCGUAGUCCCUGUCUCUUAUAC
rnacentral:rRNA from 1 species